CGCAGCGAAAUGCGAUACGUAGUGUGAAUUGCAGAAUUCCGCGAAUCAUCGAGUCUUUGAACGCAAGUUGCGCCCGAGGCUUGCCCUCGGGCAUUUCUGUCAGAGCGUCAC
rnacentral:rRNA from 1 species